CACGUAGGGUGCGAGCGUUGUCCGGAAUUAUUGGGCGUAAAGAGCUCGUAGGCGGUGUGUCGCGUCGGCCGUGAAAACCUGCAGCUUAACUGUGGGCUUGCGGUCGAUACGGGCAUCACUGGAGUUCGGCAGGGGAGACUGGAAUUCCUGGUGUAGCGGUGAAAUGCGCAGAUAUCAGGAGGAACACCGAUGGCGAAGGCAGGUCUCUGGGCCACUACUGACG
rnacentral:rRNA from 1 species